UACGUAGGGGGCAAGCGUUGUCCGGAAUCAUUGGGCGUAAAGCGCGUGUAGGCGGUUCGGUAAGUCGGCUGUGAAAGUCCAGGGCUCAACCCUGGGAUGCCGGUCGAUACUGCCGGACUAGAGUUCGGAAGAGGCGAGUGGAAUUCCCGGUGUAGCGGUGAAAUGCGCAGAUAUCGGGAGGAACACCAAUGGCGAAGGCAGCUCGCUGGGACGUUAUUGACGCUGAGACGCGAAAGCGUGGGGAGCAAACAGG
rnacentral:rRNA from 1 species